rnacentral:rRNA from 1 species
CCUACGGGUGGCUGCAGUGGGGAAUUUUGGACAAUGGGGGCAACCCUGAUCCAGCCAUGCCGCGUGCGGGAAGAAGGCCUUCGGGUUGUAAACCGCUUUCGGCCGGAACGAAAUCGCCGGGGAGAACAUCCCCGGUGGAUGACGGUACCGGAAGAAGAAGCACCGGCCAACUACGUGCCAGCAGCCGCGGUACUACGGAGGGUGCGAGCUGUAAUCGGAGUUACUGGGGGCAGAGCGUUAACAGGGGUGUGAAAUCCCCGGGCUUAACCUGGGAACUGCGUUUGUGACUGGCGGGCUGGAGUGCGGAAGAGGGAGGUGGAAUUCCACGUGUAGCAGUGAAAUGCGUAGAGAUGUGGAGGAACACCGAUGGCGAAGGCAGCCUCCUGGUCUAGCACUGACGCUCAUGCACGAAAGCGUGGGGAGCAAACAGGAUUAGAUACCCGAGUAGUC